rnacentral:SRP_RNA from 1 species
GUCACGUGGCCUGGGGGUCACGUGACCUAGAGGGGGGGGGGGCGGAGAAAAUUUUCCGCUAAAUUUAGCGGGGAAAAUUUUCCGCUAGAUUUAGCGGGGAAAAUUUUUCCGCUAUAUUUAGCGGGGGAAAUUUUCCGCUAGAUUUAGCGGGGAAAAUUUCCCGCUAAAUUCAGCAGGGAAAAUUUUCCGCUAGAUUGAGCGGGGAAAAUUUUCCGCUAGAUUUAGCGGGGAAAUUUACCCAU